GAAACGGCUUGGGGGCUUCUGGGUAUUGAGAAAAAUUGCCAGCAGGUUCAGCUGGGAGAAGCUUCGAAAAGCAAAUCCAUCCAAGUCCCUCGUCUCAGGUCCCGAAUGCAGGACCUUGGUAUUGAGUGCGUCCGUUGAUGUAGGGAGGAAAUGGGGAGAUACAUUUCUGGUACCCCAACGUACACCAGUGGAGAUGUCUCUUGAAAAACUGGGAAAUCAGCUGAUGCCCAAUUGCAAAUGUGGGAAGCAUCACACAGCGUCAGUGGUUCCUUUUGUGUCGUUAAUCAUUGGGAUCUCAUUUUACUGAAGCACUAUUUUUAAACACCUGCUAUGCCGGCCUCUCACAUGAAUGGAUGGAUAUAGAACAGGAAACUUGGCCUGUUAAGGAUCAAUUUUGCCUUCCUGGUCAUUAAUGCCUGGAGGCUGAUGGGGAGGGAGAGAUGGCAGAUAGUUGAAAUGCUUCCUGCUUAAAGCGAAGAAAGAAAAAGGAGAGUCCUAUCAUACGUGACAAAGAGGGUCAUCUCCUGCUAUAAGACCCAUGGACAUCUGGAGUAACUGACUUGCUGAAUCUCUGCGG